rnacentral:rRNA from 1 species
UACAGAGGGUGCAAGCGUUAUUCGGAAUUAUUGGGCGUAAAGGGCGCGUAGGCGGUCUGAUAAGACAGGCGUGAAAUCCCUGGACUCAAUUGAGGAAGCGCAUUGGAUACUGUCAGACUAGAGUAAAGGAGAGGUGUGCGGAAUUCCCGGUGUAGAGGUGAAAUUCGUAGAUAUCGGGAGGAACAACAGUGGCGAAGGCGGCACACUGGACUGAAACUGACGCUGAGGCGCGAAAGCGUGGGGAGCAGACAGG